AUGAAGCUGGAAUCGCUAGUAAUCGCAGAUCAGAAUGCUGCGGUGAAUACGUUCCCGGGUCUUGUACACACCGCCCGUCACACCAUGGGAGCCGGGAAUGCCCGAAGUCGGUGACCCAACCGUAAGGAGGGAGCCGCCGAAGGCAGGCCUGGUAACUGGGGUGAAGUCGUAACAAGGUAUC
rnacentral:rRNA from 1 species